rnacentral:rRNA from 1 species
GAUGAACGCUGGCGGCGUGCCUAAUACAUGCAAGUCGAGCGAACAGACGAGGAGCUUGCUCCUUUGACGUUAGCGGCGGACGGGGGAGUAACACGUGGAUAACCUACCUAUAAGACUGGGAUAACUUCGGGAAACCGGAGCUAAUACCGGAUAACAUGUUGAACCGCAUGGUUCAACAGUGAAAGACGGUCUUGCGGUCACUUAUAGAUGGAUCCGCGCCGCAUUAGCUAGUGGGUAAGGUAACGGCUUACCAAGGCAACGAGGCGCAGCCGACCUGAGAGGGUGAUCGGCCACACUAGAACUGAGACACGGUCCAGACUACUACGGGAGGCAGCAGUAGGGAAUGUUACGCAAUGGGCGAAAACCUGACGGAGCAACGCCGCGUGAGUGAAGAAGGUCUUCGGAGCGUAAAACUCUGUUAUUAGGGAAGAACAAAUGUGUAAGUAACUAUGCACGUCUUGACGGUACCUGAUCAGAAAGCCACGGCUAACUACGUG